rnacentral:piRNA from 1 species
UAACAUGAUGGUGUCCAGUU